rnacentral:rRNA from 1 species
GACAGAGGUGCCGAGCGUUAGGCGGAAUCACUGGGCUUAAAGCGUGUGUAGGCGGGCGGGCAAGUACCUUGUGAAAUCCCACGGCUCAACCGUGGAACGGCUGGGUAUACUGCCUGUCUUGAGCCAACUAGGGGCGAGCGGAACAGACGGUGGAGCGGUGAAAUGCGUAGAUAUCAUUUGGAACGCCAAUGGUGAAAACAGCUCGCUGGGAAUGAUCUGACGCUGAGACGCGAAAGCCAGGGGAGCGAACGGG